AUACCAACACCACCUGAUAUCAGAGGAUGUGUGACUGCAACGAAGUCAGAAAGGAAAGAGACAGUGGUCUUAACUGAUGAUGGUUCAUACACCCUUCUUUUGCAAAUUUUGUUCAAAAAAAAGAAAAGUCUACCACGUGAACCAUCUCUGGGAUUCUUUCCAGGACCUUGAAACUGGCCUGUAUCUCCAUUCCUGUCCCAUCCAGAUUCUUCUGCCCUUAACUCCCUACACUCCCGGGAAGCCUGCCUUGAAGGGAACGGAUGCAGCAUGAGGUGCGCCAGCAGAUGGAGAAAGGGGGCCACAUGCAUAGCCUGUAGAAGCUGGAAAAGGCAAGGAAAAAGAUUCUCCCCUAGAGCCUCCGGGAAGCAGCACGGCCCUCUUGACACCUUGAUCUUAGCCCGGGGAGACCUGUGUUGGCCUUCUACCUUUGGGAGCUGUAAAAUAAUAAAUCUGCAUUGUUUCAAGCUA